UGUGGCUAACAAGUACUGAGAAUUCUUUGGAAGUGGUUAUUCUCUUACAGUAUUUUUGAAAAGCAAAACUUCCCUUACUGAAAAUAGAAACAAAAACUUCCCUUACUCAUCUUGCAUUGUAAUUGAGCAGAUCCUUGAACUGAAACAAACACUUCCUGCUCUCGAGUAUCGGUGCCCUCGUCAGAUUCCUGCCCCUGUUCACAGCCACUGGGCUUCUGUCCAUUUCUGUGCCCUCCCUCCUAACACUUGCCUCCCAGCGUUUACCUCCUGACUCGCAAAUUUGUACUUCAGCCUUCCAUUACCAGGCCCUGUCAUUGCCACCUCACAUACACAGCCUGAAGCCGCCGCAAGUGGCUCUUCUGUCUCACUCUCUCCUGCGAACCAGAACCUUGAGCUGGGACGGUCAGUGUGUUCAAGAUAUGGAAUUUAGGCCCAGACUAAAGAGAGUUAAAGAGAGAUCCAAAGGUUUGCAUCAAGUAAAAAUGACCAGUUAA
rnacentral:lncRNA from 1 species